rnacentral:rRNA from 1 species
UACGUAGGGGGCAAGCGUUGUCCGGAAUCAUUGGGCGUAAAGAGCGUGUAGGCGGUUCGGUAAGUCUGCUGUGAAAGUCCAGGGCUCAACCCUGGAAUGCCGGUGGAAACUGUCGGGCUAGAGUCCGGAAGAGGCGAGUGGAAUUCCUGGUGUAGCGGUGAAAUGCGCAGAUAUCAGGAGGAACACCAAUGGCGAAGGCAGCUCGCUGGGACGGUACUGACGCUGAGACGCGAAAGCGUGGGGAGCGAACAGG